GACAGGGGUCUCGAGCGUUACUCGGAAUCACUGGGCUUAAAGGGUGCGUAGGCGGCCUGUCAAGUCCGGCCUGAAAGCCCCCGGCUCAACCGGGGAGGGUGGCUGGAAACUGGCAGGCUUGAGGGCGAGAGAGGAGGGUGGAAUUCCUGGUGUAGCGGUGAAAUGCGUAGAGAUCAGGAGGAACACCCGUGGCGAAGGCGGCCCUCUGGCGCGACCCUGACGCUGAGAGGCGAAAGCGUGGGGAGCGAACGGG
rnacentral:rRNA from 1 species